AGCACACACAUACACAUGACCACACAGCCAUCACUGCAGAUUCUUUGCUCACUGUGGAAUUAGGUCAUGCACAUAAAAGCCCCAAACACAGACACACAUAUAAACAUGCACUACUUUAAAAAGACAUUUUCAAAGUCACAGGGGGAAACUGGCGUACAUGGAAGCUUUACAAGAAAACACAAAUAUGAACAGGAACGCUGGGGCAGCUGCUCUUGGUCUCCACCCACUCCAGCACCACACAAGUUAAAAGCUAAAUUUUGUUUUUGAUUCAGUCAAUCCAACAGUUGUGCGACAGACCCUGAAUGCACACAUCCUUACCCUGCUUCUAUACUUUGCUUCAGACAAUGAAUCUCUUAUGCUGCUUGAACAGAAGUCCAGACACAACAUACUUGCCAAUGCAAAACCACUUGAUAUUUAGAUUAAGGAUUACGACUUACUUGUCUCAUUUCUUCUGCUAGAAUUCAAUGGAGUUUGCCAUCAUCCAUAAGCAUGUGAAUUCCAGCUUCGGGGUAAAGUGAUGAGGUCGCCUGCACUGUGCUGAGAUGUUUUGCUUGAACGCUCCUUGACCUCAGGCUGUCUGGAGGCUCUUUGCACACUAAGCUGUGCUUAUUUGUAAACAGAAUGGAUUGCUGAAGUUCUCCAUGGUCACUCUUCACCCCUGAAUAUGGCCACUUUGCACAAAGAGACCAUUCUUGCUAGUGUUUGGAUCCCAUUUCUGCUCUCAAUAUUUUAUAUUCUUAGUAGGGGCCGCCAUUUGCUUUGGAUUGAGAAAAUUGGACUAUAUUCUUGCAUAAAGCAUUCAUGUAUCACUAACUUGAGCAUUGGUAAAGAAUUACAUGAAGGUAAUGCUUGAUCAGACCACCAACCUCACUGACAAUACAACCCCUAAAAUGUUGCAUGAAAUCAAACAAGAUUGUAAACCAAAACUGGCACCAGAAACUCUUGGCUGUCGCUAACUUUCUCACAUUCUUCCUUGUGCUAGUCUGUUAACUUUCAGAGCUACCUCCUUAGGAAAACAUGUUCAUUAAAUUCCCAGCAGGAGUCCCUACGUGGGCUUCACCCUGUCAUUGACAGAUGCAUGAAUGACUCAAUAUGUGCCUGGAUUUGUAACCUGCGAGGGCUUAAGAAAAAGCCUGGGAGACAAUGGCAACUGAGGCAAAGCUGCAAAGCCUUGAAUCUAAACAAAAUCUCAUUGUUCCUGUUUUCCACAGUUAGGGGGUUAGGCAUACCCUUGCCCACCCCCACCUCAUAAGACUCCCAGAACCUCAAUCCACUGUCCCCCAGUCUCAGAGUGCUGUUAGUGGGGCAAGUAAUUAAACAGGGCUGCCUCUCAGUUUCUGCAGCUCCAUGGGGGGAGACCCUCCAUGAAAUGCACUCCUCAUUCUGAGUCCAGACGGCAGCUGAUGAGGGAUUAUCUACUGGCAGAGGCAUGGCAUACUCCCCACCAUAAUCUUCAAUUAGUCCACUUCACGGUGAUGUGUUGGGUGGACCUGCCACUACCUUUCCCACGGCUUCUUCAUAAACACCACACAAACGUAUUGAAUAAUGCUCUAUUUCACUUUGGUUCUAAAAAGACUGUCAGAUUGGUGGGAGAAGUUAGCUUGAAACAGCAUCAUUUUGUUUUGGCAAAUACAGGUAAUAAGACCCACACUUCCAUAAUCUUGUAGGUAAUAACAAAUUGUAUUUGUUGUUAGAAAUAAAAUUUCUUAUACAAGAUAAUACAAAUUACACUUCCAUUCAAGUUCUCUCAACCACCAAAGAUAAUGUUUUCUUUUUUGAAGUUCUUUGGAUGCAAAGUAUCAAUAUUUACAAAAAAAAAAAAACACUAGAAAUUUUUUUAUCCUGUUCUCUACAGUAGGCAAAUUAUUCUGAUGUCAUUGCACUACUUUCCCCCCCAAUUUAUCUUAAAAUUUCUGUUUCCUGUUUUCCUGGCAUAUUUGUUGUUGAAUACAUGACCUGCAUGCUGUUCUUAUUGUCCGAUAUCAACUCCUACCAUUCUCAAUCUCAAUCGUGUCACUUUUUACUGCUAAUAAAUACUGGUCUUACUAUGUAUUUAUAAGAUUGGCCAGGAUGGAGUUCAUGGAGUUUAUGUAUCCAUUUGUCACAAGGAAAAGGUACUCAAGAACUUCCACCCAUGUUACAUGGACCAAAACGUAGAUGGACAUCUUCUGAGCUGUACCACGAUGUGACAAGUUAGGGUGGAAAUAAUUUUUUAAAUAAUAUAUAUAUAUAUAUUUUUUAUGCCUAUUGCCUUUGACAGAGACAAAACAAAACAGAGGGGUAAGACAGGAUAAAGAACCCUAACUAGAUAUAACUAAUCAAGAACAAAAAAGCACAUGGAAAAAGCAUAACCAGCCUACCAAUUAGCUAUAUGGGUCAAGUUACUUUGCAGACUCUCUGAGGUAAAGCCUUAUAACAGGUAUGCUUUACAUUCUUUAGCACUCUGUUCCCUUAAGUCUCGGUUCAUUUACAGUUUGAGCAAUUGAGAAUUCAGAAGGUGUGUUUCAAAUUGCAAAAAGGAAAACCUGUUAAUUACUUUGGCUGAAAGAUGUUUCCAAAAGAUCAGGUUGGAGUUUUAAAAAACAGUUCAGUGAAUUGAUGAAAUACAAUACUAACGCACAUACAUAGUUCAUAGUUCAUCAUUAGCUGUUUCAAUACACUAUUAACAAAUUAUAUUUUAAGAACAUGCAGAUACAGUAUCACUUAUAAUGUACCCCUUUCAGCAGCAAAUUAUGAAUUAUAUUUGAGAUGCAAAUCUAUAAUUAUAGUUCUCUUUCCCAACUUAAUCAGCUAGCAGAAUUAUUAGACAUUAAAGUUAUCAACCUAAGCUAAUGUAAGUGUUCUGCAGUACCCAAAACUCCCAAAACAUUUCCAUUUAAAUAAUGUAUCUUUCAUCAGGCCUCUCAAGUUCUGGGGGCUUGCUUGUUAAAGUGAAGCUGAUUCUGUAUUAAAUGAACAGCAGUGUUUGGAGAGGAACGCAAUAUUUUGUUGAUUCAGUUCUUACUGCUUUAACAUUGCCUGAGCUUAUGUUGGAAAGUAUUGGCUUUGGUACUGUGUGUCACUCAUAACGGUCUAAUGCCAAGAGACUGUGGGGAAAUAUAUUUUUUUUGGUACAUAAAAAUAAUAUGAUAGGGAUCUAUAACGCCAUCUUGUCAGUGUGGAGGUUAUCUGAUCCACCCAUCAAACGGGCAAGUGACAGCCAGAAAAGUCGGACCAGGAGAUUGUGAAAUGAACCCCUCAGCCACUUCUCCCACUCUUUUUGACCAGCUUGUUUUCCAUGGGAUUUCCAUGGUCCAACCAACAAAAUGUCUGAGCAAAAAAAAAUGUCUAACACUUAGAACAUAUAAGGAUGAUUUCCACUGCAUUGAUGGGUAGUAACGGAACAGUGGAUAAGACACAUGCCUUUGGUGUGAGAGACUUUUGUAUAAUUUUACUCUGCAUUACAUCUCUACCUGCCGGACUUCAGGUUGCAUAUGUGUAAGCAUUUCAAUGGAACCAAAACUUCAAUUUAAUAUUUGGUAGUCAGAACUGCACUCACAGCAGCAACAUCUCUUUUGUUCUGCAGCAGCCCAGAUGGUUGAUAAUAUAAAUGUUGGGUGUAGUUAAUAACAUCAGCACCAAAUGAGGUACUCUUAUAUUUUUAAUACUACUAUAGUGUGGACUAGUGUUCAGAGUAGUAAACAAUAUGUAAGGGGUGACCUUAGAGUAUCCCCACCUCAUGUCUCCUGAUUUUAGAUGAUUACUUAGAAUGUUUUUAUCUUUAUUCAUGAGGGUGGGAUUUGGUUAAUAAAUUUGUGAUCAUUUCACUGAA